rnacentral:lncRNA from 1 species
CUCCCACACCACAUAGCCUUCAGAUAUGUUUAAAUACAAGAACUCCUUUUACCUGAGGAUAUUGUUGCUUCUCAUUCUCUAGAUGAAAAGCACGGGUCUGCACUGUGCAGCAGGAAAAAACAUGUCAGAGUCUGGUGGGCUGCCAGGAGCCAUGAAAUCUGUGAGCCUGUGUGCAGGAGUAUCAAAGAAUCUCAGGGAAACAACUGAGAAAGGAAAGGAAGCUAUGGUGAUUAUUGCAUGAGUUAGAAACAUGUAACCACAGGCUUUCCA